rnacentral:rRNA from 1 species
ACAGAGGGUGCAAGCGUUGUUCGGAAUCACUGGGCGUAAAGCGCGCGCAGGCGGAUGGUUGCGUCCGGAGUGAAAUUUCGCCGCUCAACGGCGAAGCUGCUUUGGAUACGGACCGUCUAGGGACCGGUAGAGGCUGGUAGAAUUGCAGGUGUAGCGGUGGAAUGCGUAGAGAUCCGGAAGAACACCGGAGGCGAAGGCGGCUUGCUGGGCGUUGUCUGACGCUGAGGCGCGAGAGCGUGGGGAGCGAACAGGA